rnacentral:tRNA from 1 species
GCUUUCGUAGUUCAAUGGAUAGAACUGCGGUUCCCUAAACCGUCAAUCCCGGUUCGAAUCCGGGCGAGAGCGCCA